rnacentral:lncRNA from 1 species
CUGCCCCUGCCAAGGGGUGCUGGCCACGCAGGAGGCUUAACCUGGCCGGCGCGGGAAUGGGGUGCAGAGAGCAAAGAAAUGUGGCUUUGAUCUUAUGGAUGCCUUACUUUUACAUUAUUUGUACAGUUCUUGCAGUGAGCUUUCCGGACCACUGUCUUGUAUGUUUCCUAAGAAAAGCAAAAAGGGAAGAGAUUGAAGAGAAAGUAGAUUUUCAACUACAAACUUUCAUCCAUUUGCUUUCAGCUUAAGCAAAUGUGCGCAAAGUUGUCAUGGAUUUUUGCAGUCAAUAAAAACCAAGCAAGAAGACUGAAUCCCAAGUCAUCUGGGGCAGAUAAGAAAAGGAACAAUUUGCUGAAACUCCCUCUGCUUGUAACACAACUGACUGAAAUCAGCCGGAAUCAAUAUGGCCAAAUGCAGUUUGCGCACAGCAAGCUUGCUGUUGUCACAGCCUGAAUUUCUACUGCAUGUUUCAUACGAACUCCCUCCAAAUUUGCACAUGGGACCUACCAGGAAGCAUGAAGAGAGAGCCAUGCAUGCCUGAAGACUUCCCAGAUGUUCCCUUUGCUUCCACCAAUCACCUGCUAAUCCCAGGAUCCAACCCUAAACCUUUUGUAAUAAAAUUACUGCCCUAAAGCCAGUACAAGAAGACAGAUUUGAACUGGACUUCUGUUUCCUCAGAAGUUAACUUGCAAUGUGAAGCUUUCCUUUUCUCAAAAACUUGGUGUCAUAGUGUUGGCUUCUAGUGCAGUGAGCCCCUUUUGCUGGAUAACACUACCUGGUAAUUUGACAUACUAGGUGGUUAGUAACUACUGACUGUCUCCAGGUUACAACACAGUUAUUACCUACUUGGGUGAAAAGAGAAGACAGGAAAUACAUUUUGGAGUUGGCUGGCAACCUGUUUACAAAGCGAUUUACAACAGUUCUUUAUUCUUAAGGGGCUAUUCUAAUAUAAGACCUCAGAGAAACAGUGCAGUGUGACAAAGGAGGAAUUUAUCAAAUGAGACAGAAAAAGCAUCAAGGCAAGCUGUGAAAUGGUGCGGUAGGAACCAAAUAGAGAGCCAAAGGAUCUCUCUGUCACUGCAGGCCCUUAGGGUCAUCAGCAGAGACAGCUCCAAGCAAUUCU